GGCGGGCUGUGGCUCAGUGGCAAAGUAUCUGUCUAGAAUGCAGAAGUUCGCAAGUUCAGUCCUUGGCAUUGAAUGCACCA
rnacentral:tRNA from 1 species